GACUUGCAGCCAAGAAGGGGAGAAUGAUGAGGACAUCACAUGCUUGGAUACAACCAUAUUGGCAUCUUUUGACUCCGAGGUGAAACAAUUCUUUAUCAUAAUUAUAUGUGACACAUUUGAUGAAUUGAUGCUGCACCAUGAUGUGUAUUCGUUGUCAAUUUCAGAAAUACGUACAUGGAUCAAAAAUAGUGUUAAACACACAUGGAAGGCAUGGAGGACCAAAGAAGUAGAUUGGGGGCCAAGUCCAAGUAUUCCCAACGUCCUCCACCAGACCACCACGUCACUUUUGGCCCAAGGAAAGAAAGAGAUCCAAUCCAACACGUUUUGGC
rnacentral:lncRNA from 1 species